GGAACUGUGCCCGAAAACCCAGGGACUACUUUGAUAGAGUAGAUUAUAGGGGUUCAACCCCCCUCAUUUCCU
rnacentral:tRNA from 1 species